UAGAGUUUGAUCCUGGCUCAGAACGAACGCUGGCGGCGUACUUAACACAUGCAAGUCGGACGAGAAAGGGCACUUCGGUGUCUGAGUAAAGUGGCGAACGGGUGCGUAACACGUAAGUAAUCUGCCCUGGACUCUGGGAUAACUUCUCGAAAGGGGGGCUAAAACCAGGUAGUACCCCGAGGCUUAAGUCACGGGGGGGAAAACGGGCCUCUGAUUUAAGCUCGUAGUUCUGGAUGAGCUUGCGUCCCAUUAGCUAGUUGGUGGGGUAAAAGCCUACCAAGGCAACGAUGGGUAGCUGGUCUGAGAGGAUGAUCAGCCACACUGGCACUGAGACACGGGCCAGACUCCUACGGGAGGCAGCAGUGGGGAAUUUUGCGCAAUGGGCGAAAGCCUGACGCAGUAACGCCGCGUGGAGGAUGAAGGCCCUCGGGUCGUAAACUCCUGUCAGGGGGGAAGACGAAAAUGGGACGAAUAGUUCCAUUUUACAGACGGUACCCCCAAAGGAAGCCCCGGCUAAUUCCGUGCCAGCAGCCGCGGUAAUACGGAAGGGGCAAGCGUUGUUCGGAAUUAUUGGGCGUAAAGGGCGUGUAGGCGGUUUCAUAUGUCCGCUGUGAAAGCACACGGCUCAACCGUGUUAGGUCGGCGGAAACUGUGAAACUUGAGGCUGGGAGGGGUCGGUGGAAUUCUUCAUGUAGCGGUGAAAUGCGUAGAUAUGAGGGAGAACACUCGUGGCGAAGGCGGCCGGCUGGACCAGUUCUGACGCUGAGGCGCGAAAGCGUGGGUAGCAAACAGGAUUAGAUACCCUGGUAGUCCACGCCGUAAACGAUGGGCACUAGGUGUCGGUGGUAUUAAUCCCGCCGGUGCUGGCGCUAACGCAGUAAGUGCCCCGCCUGGGGAGUACGGUCGCAAGGCUGAAACUCAAAGAAAUUGACGGGGGCCCGCACAAGCGGUGGAGCAUGUGGUUUAAUUCGACGCAACGCGAAGAACCUUACCUGGACUUGACAUGCACCGGACCGACAGUGAAAACUGUCUUCUCUUCGGAGCUGGUGUGCAGGUGCUGCAUGGCUGUCGUCAGCUCGUGUCGUGAGAUGUUGGGUUAAGUCCCGCAACGAGCGCAACCCUCGCCCUCUGUUGCUAACGGGUAGUUGGGCACUCUAGGGGGACUGCCGGUGAUAAGCCGCGAGGAAGGUGGGGAUGACGUCAAGUCCUCAUGGCCCUUACGGGCUGGGCUACACACGUGCUACAAUGGCGGUGACAAUGGGUUGCGAAGGGGUGCGCCUGAGCUAAUCUCAAAAAACCGUCUCAGUUCGGAUUGUAUUCUGCAACUCGAAUACAUGAAGUUGGAAUCGCUAGUAAUCGUGGAUCAGCAUGACGCGGUGAAUACGUUCCCGGGCCUUGUACACACCGCCCGUCACACCAUGGGAGUUGGUUUUACCCGAAGACGGUACGCUAACCAUUAGGAGGCAGCCGGCCACGGUAAGGUCAGCGACUGGGGUGAAGUCGUAACAAGGUAGCCGUA
rnacentral:rRNA from 1 species